CUACCAUACCCCUGUUCAAAGGCACUUAAAUAUUUUGUCUUGCCCGUUCACCCUCUGAAUGACACACACACACACACACACACACCCCAUGUCUCAAGGCUUAAAUCCUUCAACCGACGGUAUAAAUCGAGUAAAUAGUAGCUGAAAGGUGGUUGUGAAAACCAUAACGGUAUAUACAGGGCUGGGAUAACCAGGUAAACUCACCCAUUCUCUGGGUUAACCAGGUAAACUCACCCAUUCUCUGGGAUAACCAGGUAAACUCACCCAUUCUCUGGGUUAACCAGGUAAACUCACCCAUUCUCUGGGAUAACCAGGUAAACUCACCCAUUCUCUGGGAUAACCAGGUAAACUCACCCCUUCUCUGGGUUAACCAGGUAAACUCACCCCUUCUCUGGGUUAACCAGGUAAACUCACCCCUUCUCUGGGUUAACCAGGUAAACUCACCCCUUCUCUGGGUUAACCAGGUAAACUCACCCCUUCUCUGGGUUAACCAGGUAAACUCACCCCUUCUCUGGGUUAACCAGGUAAACUCACCCAUUCUCUGGGUUAACCAGGUAAACUCACCCAUUCUCUGGGUUAACCAGGUAAACUCACCCAUUCUCUGGGUUAACCAGGUAAACUCACCCAUUCUCUGGGUUAACCAGGUAAACUCACCCAUUCUCUGGGUUAACCAGGUAAACUCACCCAUUCUCUGGGUUAACCAGGUAAACUCACCCAUUCUCUGGGAUAACCAGGUAAACUCACCCAUUCUCUGGGUUAACCAGGUAAACUCACCCAUUCUCUGGGUUAACCAGGUAAACUCACCCAUUCUCUGGGUUAACC